rnacentral:rRNA from 1 species
AAAGGCGCUUUCGGGUGUCGCUGAUGGAUGGACCCGCGGUGCAUUAGCUAGUUGGUGAGGUAACGGCUCACCAAGGCCACGAUGCAUAGCCGACCUGAGAGGGUGAUCGGCCACAUUGGGACUGAGACACGGCCCAAACUCCUACGGGAGGCAGCAGUAGGGAAUCUUCGGCAAUGGACGAAAGUCUGACCGAGCAACGCCGCGUGAGUGAAGAAGGUUUUCGGAUCGUAAAACUCUGUUGUUAGAGAAGAACAAGGAUGAGAGUAACUGUUCAUCCCUUGACGGUAUCUAACCAGAAAGCCACGGCUAACUACGUGCCAGCAGCCGCGGUAAUACGUAGGUGGCAAGCGUUGUCCGGAUUUAUUGGGCGUAAAGCGAGCGCAGGCGGUUUCUUAAGUCUGAUGUGAAAGCCCCCGGCUCAACCGGGGAGGGUCAUUGGAAACUGGGAGACUUGAGUGCAGAAGAGGAGAGUGGAAUUCCAUGUGUAGCGGUGAAAUGCGUAGAUAUAUGGAGGAACACCAGUGGCGAAGGCGGCUCUCUGGUCUGUAACUGACGCUGAGGCUCGAAAGCGUGGGGAGCAAACAGGAUUAGAUACCCUGGUAGUCCACGCCGUAAACGAUGAGUGCUAAGUGUUGGAGGGUUUCCGCCCUUCAGUGCUGCAGCUAACGCAUUAAGCACUCCGCCUGGGGAGUACGACCGCAAGGUUGAAACUCAAAGGAAUUGACGGGGGCCCGCACAAGCGGUGGAGCAUGUGGUUUAAUUCGAAGCAACGCGAAGAACCUUACCAGGUCUUGACAUCCUUUGACCACUCUAGAGAUAGAGCUUCCCCUUCGGGGGCAAAGUGACAGGUGGUGCAUGGUUGUCGUCAGCUCGUGUCGUGAGAUGUUGGGUUAAGUCCCGCAACGAGCGCAACCCUUAUUGUUAGUUGCCAUCAUUCAGUUGGGCACUCUAGCAAGACUGCCGGUGACAAACCGGAGGAAGGUGGGGAUGACGUCAAAUCAUCAUGCCCCUUAUGACCUGGGCUACACACGUGCUACAAUGGGAAGUACAACGAGUUGCGAAGUCGCGAGGCUAAGCUAAUCUCUUAAAGCUUCUCUCAGUUCGGAUUGCAGGCUGCAACUCGCCUGCAUGAAGCCGGAAUCGCUAGUAAUCGCGGAUCAGCACGCCGCGGUGAAUACGUUCCCGGGCCUUGUACACACCGCCCGUCACACCACGAGAGUUUGUAACACCCGAAGUCGGUGAGGUAAC